CCGUGUUCCGCGAUGAUAGCAUGUGGAACAACGGCGAACUCGGUAUUGGGCCAGAUUUGCAGGACAUUCUGUCACCGGAGCAAGCGUACGAGGGCCUGUAUGGACAGGGUCCGGCAAGCGUGCACAGCUCGCAUGGAGGUCGUGCUUUCCAGCAAGCUAAACCAACCUAACAUAUAUCAUCACUAAAAAUAUCUAGCAACUAACCAUAACCUUCCGAUGGCCCUCUAUGUAAUAAUAUAUCCUUAGUCGCUCUACGUACAGGAUACCAAAUUAUAAAAACUAUCUCGAUUAGCCUAAUCCUCUCCCAAAUGGCGAGAAGUCGAUGUCCGAUUGUAGUAUACUUCAAGUAUACUUCAAAAUUCAGGAAAAAACAAAACCAUAAUAUACAAAUCAAGUAUAACAUUUAUGAUCCAUUCCACGGGGUCUAGUGCAAUAUUCUUGGUAUUAUGUUUUAUGGACUUUCAUUUUGAUCGUUGGUGGAUCAUUUAAUCUGCAUAGUCAACCAUUUUAUCAGAUGUACUAGCGUCCUCAAUAUGUGAUUCCUAUAUAAUAAUCCAAGAAUUAAUCACAACCCCAAAAUCAAUAUCCGUUGCAGCAGAGAGUAUAGCGUUGCUACAUAGUGUUUGCACUUAGAAUGAAAAGAUGUUCAUCUACAACAGUCAGAGAAUAUGAUAACAUAGGUACCAUACUAACUUUAUAGCAUAUAUUAUUGUGACCACAAUUAUGGAAUGUGUAGGAGUUUUGAUUUUUUUUAAUUUAAAACAUGAUACGAUGGGCGAGUCAAAUACUUAAUGUUGAUUGAUUUUUUAGCAAAGUUUUAGCACUGUUUGAGGUGAAGAUUAAGAAGCGGAAGGAUUUAAUGGCCCCUAUUUUAGCAGGAGAUCAAAAGAAUUUUAUUGUAAGCUCGCCCAAAAUAGCGUAGAGCGUAGAACUAACUACUAAAAACUUCGAAUGUUUUUCACAGCUACGAAAAACAUUUUAUCUAGUUAUCCGUUCUUUGAUUUUUUCUAAAUGUUUUGAAAAAAAGAUGAAAUAGCAGCGGUUCUAAACAAAAUCAAAGAAAACCACUGUCGUCCAGUUUUAGUCACUGCCCUUGGGGGGUCGACGAGGUAAAUCACUUUUUGCACUAGGUAAUAUUUGAUAUCGAGCAGUAUUUGACAGUAUACUCGUAACUCGUUUCGUUCCCUGGAAUAGGGCCCAGUACUUCGAUUUCGGGUAGUAAGGCUCCAGGCUAUAGAAUUGACUGAGCCUAUGCAGCUGCCUAAUGUGCUUCCAGGUCUGCGUGGAAAAUGAAAAACAUUUGCUCUCUAUAAAAGCGUUUAUAAGGACUUAAUCCAUUAUACCUGAAUAUCCUUCACGUAUAGUAGAUCUAAGCAGAUACUACGCAUAUGCAUUGUAAACAACAAAUAUGUUGGAUCCAAGAAGAAUCCAAUUUACCUGACUACCCUUCUUCGGCUUCAUUGGUGUGAUCCUCAUCUAUCCUCUCAGCAACCAUUCCUUUUUGCGUUCCAUAAUUGCUAACAUCGUGUCAUCGACUGGAUCAAUGUCGUUGCCAUCAUUUACAUCGUGUCAGUUAUCCUGACGAAUGGCACGAAUUACAAUAACAUCGCCAAAGAUGGACUUACUUGUGGAUCAUCUGGAUAAGAACAUUUCUCAACAAAUGCUUCAAUUUUCUCGCACUGCUGAAUCUGGUAACAAGAAAAACCUCCAACUGUUAAGUGCUCAGUCAGAUGAUAAAAUUACAAGCAUGCUGUGUCAUCGUUUAGGCGCUGGACCGGGGUACGACACGUUGCCGAUAGAUUCAAUGCAGGGUCUGGAAAUUGAUGGAGGCAAUUCCGUUAACAACGUUCUACCGAUUGGUCCGAAUGGUCCGACCGGUAACCAGCUGCAAUCAGUUGUCGG